UACGAAGGCCCCGAGCGUUUAUCCGGAUUUAUUGGGCGUAAAGCGUUAAUAGGCGGCUAGGUAAGUACCUCGUCAAAUUCUGGGGCUCAACCCCAGAGCCGCGAGGUAAACUGCCAGGCUUGAGGUCGGAAGAGGCAAGCGGAACUACCGGUGUAGUGGUAAAAUGCGUUCAUAUCGGUAGGAACACCAAAGGCGAAGGCAGCUUGCUGGUACGAAUCUGACGCUGAAUAACGAAAGCGUGGGGAGCGAAUGGG
rnacentral:rRNA from 1 species